CUCUCUCUCUCCCCCCCCCCCGGUUGGGGUUUGUUAUUAGGUUUUUGGCUUGGUAAUUUCUUUCCCCCUCAUUAAGGGGAAAAAACCUUGAGGGAGUUUAAGGCAAAGGCAGAGAGAGAGAUAACCCCCUUUCUCUUUAAGGUGGAUUCUCUUUCAUAAAGUUGUGCUUCUGCUUUUCGACUUGAGGCAGCAGGGGGAGGGGAAGGCGCACGACAACACACAACAACAGCGGGAGCGGGAAGAGUGGGUGGGGGGAGGUGGAAAGAGAGAAAACGCCACAAGUCGAAUGGUUGGUCUCCAAAGGGCAGCGCCUCCCCAUUGGUCACUCCGCCCGUGACGUCACCCAGCCCGGGCACUUCUACUGGCGUCAGCGCGAGCCCACCUUCUGCACAACUUCAGAGCUCGCAGCGAGCGAGAAGCAGCCAGCUAGGCAGGCAGGCGCUUGGGGUGCAUAUGUGUGUGUGUGCGCGCGCGCGCGCGUUUUGCGGUGCAUACAACCAUAACAAAGCUGCGCUCCGAAGUAGCACCCUCGUUUUUACAAAGCCAAGCAGCCUUCCAAUGAGCUAUGGGUUUUUUUCCCAAUUAAAAAGAAGAAUGUGCAUUUAUUUUCCAUACUGGCGUUGCAUCGCAGGCUAUCGCUGCCUCGCACGUGUCCGUUAGGAUUCACAACAACACUGUCCAGCCUUGGCAUUCAGAGCCAAAGCGGUGCCGAGUAAUGAACUGUAAAUUAUGGUCUAGAAUCCUGGAUGGUAACUCAGAGUUCUUCUGGACAAAAUUAGCAGGGUUCCUUCCUGAGGUAUUUUCCUGAUGAUGCAAUGUGCCCAGGGGAAGGAUUCAUUUAAAACACACAAACACCCCCUCCGCGCGCGCGCGCGCGCGAACUCGGUUGUCUGAGCGCUGUCCUUGAAUCAGUACAGUAGUGUCUGCUUUUUAAGCAUCCUGCUCCGAGGGCGAAUCCUCAGAGAUCUGUCAGUAAUACAUUUCCCCCCCUAUUGAAAACAGAAGCUCCUGUAAUGCUUUCAAAUAUAUGCAAAUGAGACAUGCGGUUAGUGGUUUGGCAAAUCUUGAUUGCAAUAUAAACCACCCGAGGAAAAGUGCCUUCACCCUAAAUUUGCCUUUCGAUUACAAUUCCAGUUGAUUUUAUUUUAUUGUCAACAUUGUUAAUGAUAAAAAUAGAGUCGCUUCGCAGUUAUUUUUCCUUUCCGAAAGGAGGCAAUUAGACUUCUAAUCAGGAAUACACAAAAAGGAAAGAGAGAAAAAUCUCCCAUGAUUAACUGCACUACUUUGUUCAAAUUGCAGCUAUAAAAUUCAGAACAAUUUGCCUGUAAUGAUUAUGGACUGGGUUUAUUUUGGGAGGUGGAAUAAAAGUGGAUAUAGCAUAAAUUAUCCUCUAAUUAUACACCAGUGUCGCCUCAAUUAUCCUCUUAUCAAAAUGGUUGUCUAACUGCCGCAUUUAGUUUCAAUUCUCUCCCAUUUUUUUCUAUAAAAAGAACCUCAUACCUUGUUAUUAUUAAUCCAUUUAUUAUUUGCUAGGGGAUUUAUAGCAGAACAUCCAGGUGGUAUCGCCACAUCUCUCGCAAAGAUGGACUGGGGAAAGACAUUAAGUUGGAACCAACACGCCAGCGGAUCUAUCGCUUUCUCGUUUUAGGGGACAAGUCAGCCUGUGUUUUCUUUUUAUAGACAAAAAAAAUCUGGCGUCCACUAAGCAGAGAAACAUUAGGAUCUUUGGAGAUUUACGGAAGAGGAGUCAGGUAGGAGGGAAAAACCAGACCGCUUUCAAGGUUGGGGGAGAGAAGAAGCUAGAGAAAGUUGGAGAGGCUGAUAAACCUGCUGGCUUUCCGUGCAUCGGCAACUUUUCUCCUGGAGGAGGGGGAAAGUUUAUCCAGACCAAGGAUAAAAUGUGAGAUGACAUUGUUACGAGAUUUGUUUGUUGCAGAUCUGGCAAGUAUUUAUUUUUUUAAAAUAAGGCCUGGCAUUAAGAAGGAUCAAGAAGAGGUUCUCUCUCUCGCUCGCUCUCUGUCUGUCUCUCUGUCUUUCCCCCGCCUUCCUUCUCGCCAGGUCACGACAAACCUUAAGCAAAUAGUUGGCUCUUAAGAAUCCCACGGAUCUUGCCAUUUUGCCCGUUGCGUUUUACGUUCAGAAGGUUUGGUUGCGCUUUGAGAUGGAGCUGCUGGAGAAGAAAUCGGCGUUCCUGAACAGCACAUCCUUAAUCUUCAAGCAUCCUUCCGUCAUGUUCUUUUUAUCUGCUACUCCCAGUGUCUCAGCAGAGGAAAGUCAAUUCCUUGGAUAUUUUAAAGCCCUCUUAGUAAUGAGGAAUGUGUUGGACUCCAUUUCUUUCAGCAAAGCUGCAUUCUUUCAUUGUGCAUCUAAUGUGUCGGCCAAGGUAGAGCCAUGAGGGAAGUUCACACCGACUGAAAGCAAGUUGGAGAUGCACAAAUAUGUAUGUAUUAACAUGCAAUAAAUCAUGCAGAAAUGCUAAAUCACAACUGUAACCUUCUGAUACGCUAUGACAUGAUAUCAACCAGCAGGCUUCUGCGUAAAUAUGUCUCUUUCUUGUGGGUGCCUGCUAAUCUACCUGGACUUCAUCAC